UACGUAGGGUGCAAGCGUUGUCCGGAAUUAUUGGGCGUAAAGAGCGUGUAGGCGGCCCGGUUAGUCCGCUGUGAAAGUCCAGGGCUCAACCCCUGGAAUGCCGGUGGAUACUGUCGGGCUAGAGUCCGGAAGGGGCGAGUGGAAUUCCUGGUGUAGCGGUGAAAUGCGCAGAUAUCAGGAGGAACACCGAUGGCGAAGGCAGCUCGCUGGGACGUGACUGACGCUGAGACGCGAAAGCGUGGGGAGCAAACAGG
rnacentral:rRNA from 1 species